GGGGAGGGGAGCAACGGGCGCAGGGUACAACGAGCUCACGGAUCCUAGAAUGUGUUCAAGGAGUGGAGCUUGCGCUUAGUGGGAUGGUUGGCCACCCGCGUGAAGCAAAAAGUACAAAAUUCUCCCAAUUUUUUUAUAUGUUCUGUUUGUUGAACAAAUUGCCAUAGUACAAGGAGUCAGGACCUGGGAUAUUUUAGAACAAUACUUCAUACAGCUACCAGAUGGAACAUAUUUACUUGAAGAGUUUACUCGGUUGAACUGAAUAAAUCAAGUGGUGGCACAUUGGGACGGUAGCUUACUCUGUUUUGCAGGUUGAGGAGAUGAUGGUAGGUGGAGCAUGUAUAGAAGAGGCUUUCGUCAUUUGUCAACUGAGUUUGUAAUAUAAAAUUAGAACCUUAUCUUCUGCAAACAGUGCAUGAAGAUUUACAGUAGCAAGGCAUCUUAUCAUGGACAUAUUUUUGACUUGGCUGAUUAGGAUGUAAGUGAAAAAUGAUUUCCUGAAAUAUGCACAUUGCAUCCUAGAAAGUUGUGAAUAAAAAUAUGGUUCAGGGGCUAUAAUUCUUGGUGUGAGCCGCUUUGAACACAAGAAUUAUCAGUUUUAUUUAACUUCAGCAGUGUGUAAAAAAUAUAUUGUGUGAUUAAGUGCUUUGCCUCACUAUUUAUUGCAUACUGAUGUGCCGCUUUUUUGUCAUGAUUUUUUUCUGUAUAAAAUUGUAAGUUGCAUACUUGCAUUUCAAUAAACUCAAAUAUGAUUAGUUUUUUUUUUCCAUGGUGCACAUAGUUUUAGGUUAUCUGAGAUAGAUCUGAAUGUAUAUUUAGGCUCAAGGAUAUAGCCUAUUUCUAUAUUUAGGUUCAGUGAUAAAUCGAAUCUACAUGUACUAAUUAUUAAAUAAAUGUGGCCUGCCAUCAUCUUUUAGGCUGUAGGUUCCUCGCUGGUUCAUUUUGUUGCGAGGGGUGCUCCCAGCUCAAAGGGAGAUCCGAUCAUUGCCAGUGUUUGGGUGACUCGACUUUGCAGCAGGUGGAGCAGUAGUGGAUGGGGUCUUCGUGUUCAUCACAGAGGUGGAGAUGAGCUCAAACUGUUAGUGGUCAAAGCAUGGGAAGGGAGCAAAGAGCAAGGCCGGAAACAUGGGUAUGCAGAUAUCAUGCAUCCUCUCUUGGGAGAAGACCAAGAAAGCCACAUGGAUAAUCUGGCUUAUUGAAGUAAGCUUCUUGCCUAAUGAAGCAACCAGCAUUAGUUUUUCUGUGGUGUCGACCUUAUGUGUCGAGAAUGCAGGUGUGCCCAUCACAAAGCUUGCUCUGUACAUAUAUCAUUUUUUUCUACUGGUGCGAGCUUUCCAAAUUUAUUUUUUGAAUCAUGCCUUGGUUAAAGUUAAAUAUGGACCAAUGCAUUUUCUUCCUAAAAUACUUCUCCUGCCUGUGUUGAUGGUCACAUUUUUCCUGUUUUCACUGAUGUACCUAAGAUACAUAAUCAGAGGUGUCAUCAUGGGCAUCUGAGACACACUGCACAAAUUCUCUGAAAAUAAAGAAUGUCGCUGCAACAAUUCGUCUUCAGCAUUUAGUGUUAUGGUAUCUUCCUAAAAUACUUCUCCUGCCAAUGUCGAUGGUCACAUUUUUUCUUGUUUUCACUGACGUACUUAAGAUACAUGCCUUAUAUGUAGACCAUAAGGGUUAUUACAUGAUUAGUUUGUACAUUUAUCCAAAUAUAAUCCAUAAAA